GAUGAACGCUGGCGGCGUGCCUAAUACAUGCAAGUCGAGCGAACAGACGAGGAGCUUGCUCCUCUGACGUUAGCGGCGGACGGGUGAGUAACACGUGGAUAACCUACCUAUAAGACUGGGAUAACUUCGGGAAACCGGAGCUAAUACCGGAUAAUAUAUUGAACCGCAUGGUUCAAUAGUGAAAGACGGUUUUGCUGUCACUUAUAGAUGGAUCCGCGCCGCAUUAGCUAGUUGGUAAGGUAACGGCUUACCAAGGCAACGAUGCGUAGCCGACCUGAGAGGGUGAUCGGCCACACUGGAACUGAGACACGGUCCAGACUCCUACGGGAGGCAGCAGUAGGGAAUCUUCCGCAAUGGGCGAAAGCCUGACGGAGCAACACCGCGUGAGUGAUGAAGGUCUUCGGAUCGUAAAACUCUGUUAUUAGGGAAGAACAAAUGUGUAAGUAACUAUGCACGUCUUGACGGUACCUGAUCAGAAAGCCACGGCUAACUACGUG
rnacentral:rRNA from 1 species